CAGUAGCCGCGGUAAUACGUAGGGUGCGAGCGUUGUCCGGAAUUACUGGGCGUAAAGAGCUCGUAGGCGGUUUGUCACGUCGUCUGUGAAAUCCUAGGGCUUAACCCUGGACGUGCAGGCGAUACGGGCUGACUUGAGUACUACAGGGGAGACUGGAAUUUCUGGUGUAGCGGUGGAAUGCACAGAUAUCAGGAAGAACACCGAUGGCGAAGGCAGGUCUCUGGGUAGUAACUGACGCUGAGGAGCGAAAGCAUGGGUAGCGAACAGGAUUAGAUACCCCCGUAGUCCCUGUCUCUUAUAC
rnacentral:rRNA from 1 species